CAGUCGAACGAAGCACUUAUCUUUGAUUCUUCGGAUGAAGAGAUUUGUGACUGAGUGGCGGACGGGUGAGUAACGCGUGGGUAACCCGCCUCAUACAGGGGGAUAACAGUUAGAAAUGACUGCUAAUACCGCAUAAGACCACGGAGCCGCAUGGCUCAGUGGGAAAAACUCCGGUGGUAUGAGAUGGACCCGCGUCUGAUUAGGUAGUUGGUGGGGUAACGGCCUACCAAGCCAACGAUCAGUAGCCGACCUGAGAGGGUGACCGGCCACAUUGGGACUGAGACACGGCCCAAACUCCUACGGGAGGCAGCAGUGGGGAAUAUUGCACAAUGGGGGAAACCCUGAUGCAGCGACGCCGCGUGAGCGAAGAAGUAUUUCGGUAUGUAAAGCUCUAUCAGCAGGGAAGAAAAUGACGGUACCUGACUAAGAAGCACCGGCUAAAUACGUGCCAGCAGCCGCGGUAAUACGUAUGGUGCAAGCGUUAUCCGGAUUUACUGGGUGUAAAGGGAGCGUAGACGGCUGUGUAAGUCUGAAGUGAAAGCCCGGGGCUCAACCCCGGGACUGCUUUGGAAACUAUGCAGCUAGAGUGUCGGAGAGGUAAGUGGAAUUCCCAGUGUAGCGGUGUAAUGCGUAGAUAUUGGGAGGAGCACCAGUGGCGAAGGCGGCUUACUGGACGAUGACUGACGUUGAGGCUCGAAAGCGUGGGGAGCAAACAGGAUUAGAUACCCUGGUAGUCCACGCCGUAAACGAUGACUACUA
rnacentral:rRNA from 1 species